rnacentral:rRNA from 1 species
CAGCAGCCGCGGUAAUACGAAGGGGGCUAGCGUUGUUCGGAUUUACUGGGCGUAAAGGGUGCGUAGGCGGAUUGUUAAGUCAGGGGUGAAAUCCCGAGGCUCAACCUCGGAACUGCCUUUGAUACUGGCGAUCUUGAGUCCGGGAGAGGUGAGUGGAACUGCGAGUGUAGAGGUGAAAUUCGUAGAUAUUCGCAAGAACACCGGUGGCGAAGGCGGCUCACUGGCCCGGUACUGACGCUGAGGCACGAAAGCGUGGGGAGCAAACAGGAUUAGAUACCCCAGUAGUCCCUGUCUCUUAUAC